rnacentral:lncRNA from 1 species
AAAAACAAAGCUUUUGAAAAGUUUUCUUAAGAAAUUUUGAUUUCUCUCUUUUAUUCUGGAGGUUUUUGUUGGAUUUUCAGAGGUUGAAGAACAGGGCUUGAUUUCCUUCAGGGUUGUUUUAAGCUGAUUGUUUGCCUAUUCUUGCUUUGGUUCUAUUCUAGUGUUUGAACCUUCAGUUCUUUUUUGAACCAAGCUCACUCGAUUGUGGGCUGUUUGUUGUUGCUUGUUUUUCUUCUUCAAAGAUUCAGAAAGUUCUCCUUCUUUUCCUUGGUUUUCUUUGCUGCUACUACUGUUAAGGUAUGUGUAUUUAGUUUCAAAUGAUGUAUAUUGGGUGUUCCAUUGCUAUGAAAAUCUCAGUUUUUGUUUGUUCAUAUUUAUGUGAUACUGAGUGCCAUUUUCUUACUUCUGAGCCGAGUUUUGGUCUCGAAGUGUCUGAUGUGAGUAAUGUCUGAAACCAUACUGAAAAUUUGAGUAAUAAUAGAAACAAUCAUGAAAAGGCAGCCAUUUGAGUGAGCAAUGUGUGUUUGCUAAGAUUUGAUUUGUUCCUAACUUGUAAUGUGUUUUUCAUAUCGUGUUCUGUUUCAACAGAUCUAUGGCUUAGGGUUGAACUACCAUCAUUGUUAGCAUGAAAUUUAGGAGUUUGUCA